AGAGUUUGAUCCUGGCUCAGGAUGAACGCUAGCGGCAGGCCUAAUACAUGCAAGUCGAACGGUGUAGCAAUACACAGUGGCGCACGGGUGCGUAACACGUAUGCAACCUACCUAUCAUUGGGGGAUAGCCUUUGGAAACGGAGAUUAAUACCGCAUAAGACAGUAACAUGGCAUCAUGUAGCUGUUAAAGCUUCGGCGAUGAUAGAUGGGCAUGCGUCCAAUUAGUUAGUUGGUGAGGUAAUGGCUCACCAAGACGAUGAUUGGUAGGGGAUCUGAGAGGAUAAUCCCCCACACUGGCACUGAGAUACGGGCCAGACUCCUACGGGAGGCAGCAGUAGGGAAUAUUGGGCAAUGGACGGAAGUCUGACCCAGCCAUGCCGCGUGCAGGAUGAAGGCGUUAUGCGUUGUAAACUGCUUUUUUAUAGGAAGAAGGAGACCUUGCGAGGUUUGGUGACGGUACUAUAAGAAUAAGCACCGGCUAACUCCGUGCCAGCAGCCGCGGUAAUACGGAGGGUGCGAGCGUUGUCCGGAUUUAUUGGGUUUAAAGGGUGCGUAGGCGGUUUAUUAAGUCAGUGGUGAAAGACGGUCGCUCAACGAUUGCAGUGCCAUUGAUACUGGUAGACUUGAGUUCGUAUGAGGUAGCUGGAAUGGAUAGUGUAGCGGUGAAAUGCAUAGAUAUUAUCCAGAACUCCAAUUGCGUAGGCAGGUUACUAAUACGAUACUGACGCUGAUGCACGAAAGUGUGGGGAUCAAACAGGAUUAGAUACCCUGGUAGUCCACACUGUAAACGAUGAUGACUAACUGUUUGCCCUUUGGGGUGAGUGGUACAGAGAAAUCG
rnacentral:rRNA from 1 species